UAUGUAUCAGACAUGCAUUAUAGAUUGAACGAGUCUGGCCGUUGGGCAGGGUUUGUCUUGGGCCAGCGUUUGAGGCGCUGAUCGUCUGGUCCGACCCUGGGUGUCUGAAAUCACAACCAGAAGGUUCCGAGGCUCACGCAAAACACUGGAAAUAUGUAGCUUCAGGAAAGACAGACAGACAACACACACUCAAAAAAAAAAAAAAAAGCACUUAAGACAUAGGUUGCAAUCAAUACCACUAAUUAGAAAUGUGUCAAAGAAUGCAGCGUUUCACAUCAUUUAGUCGGUGUGGUUAAUUCUUCCCUAUCUGGUGUGAAGCUGUGUCUCGUCCAAGGCACAGGGUUAGGAGCAGCACAGUAAAAUGUUUAAGACGCCAUUACGGCAAGGUCAACAAGAAUCCUGUCGCGAGCGUUGGUCACGCUGCUCCAUGAGGUGUCCAGGUUGAGUGGUUGGAUUGUAACUUACUCUUAAUAUUUACGUUUACAAUUUGUGCAGUUAUUUCAGAUAUACAUUUUGAAGUUUGACAUUUUGAACAAAGUUUUCAUUAUGGUGUUUGCAACUGUUGUUGCCCUGUCAUCUCUUUGCUAAAUUAGUUUGGAGUUAGUUAAAAUUGAAAUAUAAAUGUUGCAUAUUAUACAUUGAUCUUAAUAUAAGAGAAUGUCUUCAGCUAGCUGUAGCACCAUUAUUUUGAUAUCUUACUUUCAUCCCUGUAUGAUCAACAACAAUAUAUCGCUGCACAUUAACGGGAGAUAUCCAUUAUAGUAGCCAGACUAUAAGCCUCGUACUCCCAGAAUGCACCUUGGCUUUGCAGCUCAUGAAAGAGAGGGAGAUAGCACAAUUCGUUCUUGGUAACGUAGGAUGCUAAUAUGGACACACAUUGGAGUUAGAACCCAGUUCAUUUAUGCUGGACCCCAACAGCAUUAAAUCUCAAAUCUGAAAAUGUACCUAGAAACAUGUUUUAUAAAGUACCAAUGUUAAAAGUCUGCUUUAUAGAUCGUCUCUUUGAUUUAUUAUAGCUGUAGUGUCCACCAGAGCUUAUCGCUUUCACUGAAAGAAACCACCAGGUGAACUGACAGAAAAACUAAAAACAGAACACUGUUAUGUUAAACUCAUCAUCCAGCCACAGAGGGGCCAACCGUUCCGUUUGCUUUCGACCAAUCGCAACCCCCUCCCCACCUCCUCACCCAGACACAUCCAUACUCACUAUUUAUUCCAAUCUCUUCCCCAGACUUCUCUUUCUUAUCUCUAUCGCUCUUACACACACACACACACACACACACACACACACACACACACACACACACACACACACACACACACACACACACACACACACACACACACACUCUGUCGGUCUCACCCUCCAGCUGGGGCCUAUUAGUCUAUCUCCUGCGCUACAGGAAGUGAACUAUCAUUUAGGGCUGACAGGUACAUAGACUGGAUCUUACUGGCUGUCCUGCUGUUGUGCUCCCACAACAGGCCAGUCUUUCUGUAACAACGCCCAGGGACUCCUGGGGACUCCUCCUCUUUACCAGCUAACCCUGCAUAGGUAUAUAUAGGUGUUUUAGUGUGGUGCAUAAUGGCACACACCCCUUACUGUAACCUUGGAGAGAGCUCUGGUAAGCUGCAUCCUAUGAGUCAGUACAUUUCAGCACUGAACUAUCUAGUAUGGUACUAUAAACUAUACUUAAGGCUAUGCUACGUAACAUUUCUACUGCAGCUAUUUACCCACCCGAGUCAUUUCAUCCAGGGAAUUGUUCUAUGUAACUGCGGUUCCACCGUGGGCCGUAACUAACUUCCGUCUGAGAAUGAUAUAUCUAUAACUGUAGGUACAACUCCGGCCACUAGGGGCUGCUAACGGGAAGACUUGCACAAUGGGGGAUAAAGUCGUUUGUUUUGAAGGCAUGGGACCGACAGAUGUAGGGAAACAGAACGACAGAAACACACACACACACACACACACACACACACACACACACACACACACACACACACACACACACACACACACACACACACACACACACACACACACACACACACUCACUUUUACUCAGCUGUUGUUCAGCCUUUCUUUUUGUUUGUGAAGGAGAAGAGAGAGGAGAAGAGAGCUUUGGAAAGAGAACCAUGGGGCCCAUGACUUCAGAGCAGUAUGCGAUUCCUGCUAAUGAGUUUCUACUCAUUGGUAAAACCCUAAUGAAUUUGCACAAAUGAUCUCCAUUUAACGACGGCGCUGACGUCCCCCUUCCUGACUCCGGGGCACCUCUCAGCUGUGGCUAUCGGGUUCACGAUGGCAGAUUCCAAAAAUGACUCAGAGGCAAUAACAACGGCAUCCACCCAAAGAGCGACGGGAAGGAGAUUAAAGAGGUUCAACUCUAGCUCCACGGCCUCUACUCCUAUCGCACUACAUCAAGUCUGUCCGGUGAUGUCAGCCUGGCUGCUGGUGAAUGCUAAGCGCCGUGGACAGCUUCACCUCUGAGACGCCUGUCAGAGGGGACGUUGACAUUCAGAGACACAGUGCGUCUCAUCCUAGGUCUGGUGACCAAAGAAGGCUAAAGAAUUCCAUUGCCAGCGACAGCUCUGUAAUUGUCGUGUAUAUGACAAUAAAACCAACUUGAAUCUUGAA